ACUCAACUAACUCACAAUCAUAAAGCGGUCGACUGCAUUGAUCAGAAUCAAACACAAUAUCAGAUUAUCAUAAUCAUAUCUGCUCUGAUGAAUGGACUUCUGAUCAUUUUGCUGAUCUUUUCUGCUGCUGGAAAAACAGCUUGGUUGGAAAAACACAUUCAUAAUGAUGAUCUGCAGACAAAAGUUACAUAUCAGCUUCAAGAUCCAAACCAAUUGUAGGCACAAUGAGUUCAUUAAUGUGGAACAUAAUCUGCAAGCAAACAACAGCUGUGUGACUACAUAACAUGUUAUUAAAGUGUUGUGUUUAAGUCAAGAACAUAUUUUUACAUUUUAUUUUUAUGGUGUACAUUAUUGAGUAUUUGGGAUAAUAAUUAUCACAAUUAUUACUCCAGUAAAGUCGAUGGGCACAUAUUUUUAAGUUAUGGCUACAAAAAUAAUUG